GCAGCAUAAAGGAAAGAUGAGAUGAUGAGACCGAAUUAAGAACAACAACAUCAUGAGAAACAUCAUGACCUACAGACUGAUAAUGCUGUCUGUCCUCUGGAUCGCAACAUCUGUGUCUCCGGGCAGUGCAGAGUGCAACGCAACCCAUGCAAAUG